rnacentral:rRNA from 1 species
GGACUACUACGGGACGCAGCAGUGAGGAAUAUUGGUCAAUGGGAGAGAUCCUGAACCAGCCAAGCCGCGUGAGGGAAGACGGCCCUAUGGGUUGUAAACCUCUUUUGUCGGAGAACAAAACCCGGGACGUGUCCCGGACUGCGUGUAUCCGAAGAAAAAGCAGCGGCUAACUCCGUGCCAGCAGCCGCGGUAAUACGUAUGGAGCAAGCGUUAUCCGGAUUUACUGGGUGUAAAGGGAGCGCAG